rnacentral:rRNA from 1 species
UGCCAGGCCGCCGCGGUAAUACGGGAGAUGCAAUCGUUAUUCGGAUUUAUUGGUCGUAAAGGGUCUGUAGGUUGUUGGUUAAGUCUAUGGUCAAAUUACGAAGCUCAACUUCGGGCCGGCACUAGAAACUAAUCAACUUGAGUACGUUAGAGGAAGGGGGAAUUCCCAGUGUAGCGGUGAAAUGCGUAGAUAUUGGGAGGAACAUCAAUGGCGAAGGCACACAUGCUAGGCCGAUACUGACACUGAAAGACGAAAGCUAGGGGAGCAAAUGGGAUUAGAUA